rnacentral:rRNA from 1 species
GACGAACGCUGGCGGCGUGCCUAACACAUGCAAGUCGAACGGGAUCCAUACUAUGAAGUCUUCGGAUGGAUUGGUAUGGUGAGAGUGGCGGACGGGCGAGUAACGCGUGAGCAACCUGCCCUAUACUGGGGGAUAACACCGGGAAACCGGUGCUAAUACCGCAUAAGACUACGAGAUCGCAUGGUUUUGUAGUCAAAGCUCCGGCGGUAUAGGAUGGGCUCGCGUCCAAUUAGCUAGUUGGUGAGGUAACGGCCCACCAAGGCGACGAUUGGUAGCCGAACUGAGAGGUUGAUCGGCCGCAUUGGGACUGAGACACGGCCCAGACUUCUACGGGAGGCAGCAGUGGGGAAUAUUGCGCAAUGGGGGCAACCCUGACGCAGCAACGCCGCGUGAAGGAAGAAGGCCUUCGGGUUGUAAACUUCUUUGAUCGGGGACGAAACUGACGGUACCCGAGGAACAAGCCACGGCUAACUACGUGCCAGCAGCCGCGGUAAUACGUAGGUGGCAAGCGUUGUCCGGAAUUACUGGGCGUAAAGGGCGUGUAGGCGGGGCGGCAAGUCAGGUGUGAAAUCCCGGGGCUUAACUCCGGAGCUGCAUCUGAAACUGCUGUUCUUGAGUGCUGGAGAGGAAAGUGGAAUUCCCAGUGUAGCGGUGAAAUGCGUAGAGAUUGGGAGGAACACCAGUGGCGAAGGCGGCUUUCUGGACAGUAACUGACGCUGAGGCGCGAAAGCGUGGGGAGCAAACAGGAUUAGAUACCCUGGUAGUCCACGCCGUAAACGAUGGAUACUAGGUGUAGGAGGUAUCGACCCCUUCUGUGCCGGAGUUAACACAAUAAGUAUCCCGCCUGGGGAGUACGGCCGCAAGGCUG